GAUGAACGCUGGCGGCGUGCCUAAUACAUGCAAGUCGAGCGAACGGACGAGAAGCUUGCUUCUCUGAUGUUAGCGGCGGACGGGUGAGUAACACGUGGAUAACCUACCUAUAAGACUGGGAUAACUUCGGGAAACCGUAGCUAAUACCGGAUAAUAUUUUGAACCGCAUGGUUCAAAAGUGAAAGACGGUCUUGCUGUCACUUAUAGAUGGAUCCGCGCUGCAUUAGCUAGUUGGUAAGGUAACGGCUUACCAAGGCAACGAUGCAUAGCCGACCUGAGAGGGUGAUCGGCCACAGUGGAACUGAGACACGGUCCAGACUCCUACGGGAGGCAGCAGUAGGGAAGCUUCCGCAAUGGGCGAAAGCCUGACGGAGCAACGCCGCGUGAGUGAUGAAGGUCUUCGGAUCGUAAAACUCUGUUAUUAGGGAAGAACAUAUGUGUAAGUAACUGUGCACAUCUUGACGGUACCUAAUCAGAAAGCCACGGCUAACUACGU
rnacentral:rRNA from 1 species